rnacentral:rRNA from 1 species
CCUACGGGGGGCUGCAGUCGAGAAUCAUUCACAAUGGGGGAAACCCUGAUGGUGCGACGCCGCGUGGGGGAAUGAAGGUCUUCGGAUUGUAAACCCCUGUCAUGUGGGAGCAAAUUAAAAAGAUAGUACCACAAGAGGAAGAGCCGGCUAACUCUGUGCCAGCAGCCGCGGUAAUACAGAGGUCUCAAGUGUUGUUCGGAAUCACUUGGCGUAAAGCGUGCGUAGUCUGUUUCGUAAGUCGGGUGGGAAAGGGGCGGGCUCAACCCGCGGAGUGCACCUGAUACUGUAAGACUAGAGUGAGGGAGGGGGAGGCGGAAUGCGCGGGGUAGCAGUGAAAUGCGUAGAUAUCGAGAGGAACACUCGUGGCGAAGGCAGGUUCCUGGACAUUAACUGACGCUGAGGCACGAAGGCCAGGGGAGCGAAAGGGAUUAGAUACCCGUGUAGUC